AUUUCAGCAAGUUCUUCCCAUCUUUCUCAAUUUGGCUGGCUAGGCGGGUGUCCCCUUCCUCCCUCACCGCUCCAUGUGCGUCCCUCCAGAAGCUGCGCGCUCGGUGGAAGAGGACGACCAUCCCAGAUAGAAGGAGUGUACCGUUCUUCGGUCAAGGGUAUACGAUAGCUGCGCUCCCCUGCUAGAACCUCCAAACAAGCUCAAUUUUGAUUCUAUAGUUUUAACGAUCUAACCUUAAUUUUUUCAAUUUAACCCAGUAUCAAUCAACUUUUACUUAAUUCU
rnacentral:snRNA from 1 species